rnacentral:rRNA from 1 species
AUACGUAGGGAGCGAGCGUUGUCCGGAAUUACUGGGUGUAAAGGGAGCGCAGGCGGGGAUGCAAGUUGGAUGUGAAAUACCGCAGCUUAACUGCGGAGCUGCAUCCAAAACUGUAUUUCUUGAGUGAAGUAGAGGUAGGCGGAAUUCCUAGUGUAGCGGUGAAAUGCGUAGAUAUUAGGAGGAACACCAGUGGCGAAGGCGGCCUACUGGGCGUUAACUGACGCUGAGGCUCGAAAGUGUGGGGAGCAAACAGGAUUAGAUACCCUGGUAGUCCACACUGUAAACGAUGAUUGCUAGGUGUGGGGGGACUGACCCCUUCCGUGCCGGAGUAAACACAAUAAGCAAUCCACCUGGGGAGUACGACCGCAAGGUUGAAACUCAAAGGAAUUGACGGGG